CGAACGGGUGAGUAAUACAUCGGAACGUGCCCAGUCGUGGGGGAUAACUACUCGAAAGAGUAGCUAAUACCGCAUACGAUCUGAGGAUGAAAGCGGGGGACCUUCGGGCCUCGCGCGAUUGGAGCGGCCGAUGGCAGAUUAGGUAGUUGGUGGGAUAAAAGCUUACCAAGCCGACGAUCUGUAGCUGGUCUGAGAGGACGACCAGCCACACUGGGACUGAGACACGGCCCAGACUCCUACGGGAGGCAGCAGAG
rnacentral:rRNA from 1 species